CAAUAGCGUAUAUUAAAGUUGUUGCAGUUAAAAAGCUCGUAGUUGAAUUUCGGGUGCUCGUGUUCGGUGCUUGAUUGUGCCGUCGCGUGUGCCCUCCUCGCCUUUGGCGUCAUUUACUGUGAAAAAAUUAGAGUGUUCAAAGCAGGCAUCGCCGUUGAAUACAUUAGCAUGGAAUAAUAAGAUAAGACUUUGGUGGUCUAUUUUGUUGGUUUGCACGCCAAAGUAAUGAUUAAUAGGGAUAGUUGGGGGUAUUCGUAUUCUAUUGCUAGAGGUGAAAUUCUUAAAUUUAUGGAAGACGAACUACUGCGAAAGCAUUUACCAAGGAUGUUUUCAUUAA
rnacentral:rRNA from 1 species